rnacentral:rRNA from 1 species
CAGGAUUCCCCUAGUAACUGCGAGUGAAGCGGGAAAAGCUCAAAUUUAAAAUCUGGUGGUCUUUGGCCAUCCGAGUUGUAAUUUAGAGAAGCGUCUUCCGCGCUGGACCAUGCACAAGUCUCCUGGAAUGGAGCGUCAUAGAGGGUGAGAAUCCCGUCUUUGGCAUGGACCCCCAGUGCUUCUGUGAUGCGCUCUCAAAGAGUCGAGUUGUUUGGGAAUGCAGCUCAAAAUGGGUGGUGAACUCCAUCUAAAGCUAAAUAUUGGCGAGAGACCGAUAGCGAACAAGUACCGUGAGGGAAAGAUGAAAAGCACUUUGGAAAGAGAGUGAAACAGUACGUGAAAUUGUUGAAAGGGAAACGCUUGAAGUCAGUCGCGUCGACCGAGACUCAGCCUUGCCUUGGCUUGGUGUACUUCUCGGCUGACGGGUCAGCAUCAAUUUUGAUCCUUGGAUAAUGGCAAGGGAAAGGUAGCACCUUUACAGGUGUGUUAUAGUCCUCUGUCGGAUGCAAGGGUUGGGAUUGAGGAACUCAGCACGCACCUUGUCGGUGUCGGGGCCUUGGCCUACGUUACGUGCUUAGGAUGCUGGCAUAAUGGCUUUAAACGACCCGUCUUGAAACACGGACCAAGGAGUCUAACAUGCACGCGAGUGUUCGGGUGGAAAACCCGUGCGCGUAAUGAAAGUAAAAGUUGGGACCUCUGUCGUGGAGGGCACCGACGCCCGGACCAGACCUUCUGUGACGGCUCUGCGGUAGAGCGUGUAUGU